UGGACAGAUUAUUGUAUUUGAUUGUAUUCAUGGCGUGAAAUAGAGGAUUACACUGUUAUUAAAAUGGAAAGGGAAUCAAUUAACAUAAUAGACUCCU
rnacentral:pre_miRNA from 1 species